GAUGAACGCUGGCGGCGUGCCUAAUACAUGCAAGUAGAACGCUGAAGGAAGGAGCUUGCUCUUUCCGGAUGAGUUGCGAACGGGUGAGUAACGCGUAGGUAACCUGCCUGGUAGCGGGGGAUAACUAUUGGAAACGAUAGCUAAUACCGCAUAACAGUAGAUGUUGCAUGAUAUCUACUUAAAAGGUGCAAUUGCACCACUACCAGAUGGACCUGCGUUGUAUUAGCUAGUUGGUGAGGUAACGGCUCACCAAGGCGACGAUACAUAGCCGACCUGAGAGGGUGAUCGGCCACACUGGGACUGAGACACGGCCCAGACUCCUACGGGAGGCAGCAGUAGGGAAUCUUCGGCAAUGGACGGAAGUCUGACCGAGCAACGCCGCGUGAGUGAAGAAGGUGUUCGGAUCGUAAAGCUCUGUUGUAAGAGAAGAACGAGUGUGAGAGUGGAAAGUUCACACUGUGACGGUAUCUUACCAGAAAGGGACGGCUAACUACGUG
rnacentral:rRNA from 1 species